rnacentral:misc_RNA from 1 species
AAGUCGUAACAAGGUUUCCGUAGGUGAACCUGCGGAAGGAUCAUUACUAGAGCAAAGGAUAGACAGCGCCCGCGGAGCUCGCUCCCGGGGCUACCCUACUCCCGUAGGGUUUAGAGUCGUCGGGCCUCUCGGAGAAGCUCGGUCCUGAACUCCACCCUUGAAUAAACUACCUUUGUUGCUUUGGCGGGCCGCCUCGUGCCAGCGGCUCCGGCUGUUGCGUGCCCGCCAGAGGACCCCAACUCUUGUUUUUAGUGAUGUCUGAGUACUAUAUAAUAGUUAAAA